UCUUAAGGAAUGGCACCGGAGGAUGUC
rnacentral:piRNA from 1 species